rnacentral:rRNA from 1 species
CCUACGGGUGGCUGCAGUAACGAAUAUUCCGCAAUGGGCGCAAGCCUGACGGAGCAAUACCGCGUGUAGGAUGAAGCCCCUCGGGGUGUAAACUACUGUCAGGGUCUACCAACUCAAUGAGGAGACCCAGAGGAAGAGACGGCUAACUCUGUGCCAGCAGCCGCGGUAAUACAGAGGUCUCAAGCGUUAAUCGGAAUCACUGGGCUUAAAGGGUGCGCAGGCGGAUUCGUAAGCACUUUGUGAAAUCCCACGGCUCAACCGUGGAAUUGCUUGGUGGACUGCGAAUCUUGAGCCCGACAGGGGUCGUCAGAACGCUAGGUGGAGCGGUGAAAUGCGUAGAUAUCUAGCGGAAUGCCAAAGGUGAAGACAGACGACUGGGUCGGCGCUGACGCUCAGGCACGAAAGCGUGGGGAGCAAACGGGAUUAGAUACCCGUGUAGU